rnacentral:rRNA from 1 species
GGUUUUUUGGUUAGGAAUUUAAAGUUUGACCUGCCCAAUGAUGAAUUUAAUGGCCGCGGUAUUGUGACCGUGCAAAGGUAGCAUAAUCAUUAGUCUUUUAAUUGAGGGCUUGUAUGAAUGGUCGGACGAGGAGGGGACUGUCUUCAAAUGAAGUUUUGUUAUUUGAAUUUUACCUUUAAGUGAAAAGGCUUAAAUGGUCUUGAGGGGCGAUAAGACCCUAUAGAUCUUUACAUUGUUGUAGCAUUAGGGUGUAAUGGGGCAUGGUGUUAGGUUGGGGCGACAGGAAGAAAAGCAUAACUUUUUAGGUGUGGGAUUACUGUUUUGUAUGUUGAAGAUCCACGAUUAUAGUGAUUGUGAGACUAAGUUACCUUAGGGAUAACAGCGUAAUCUUUUUUGAGAGUUCAUAUCGAGAGAGGGGAUUGCGACCUCGAUGUUGGAUUAAGGUUUCCUUGUGGUGCAGGAGCUGCAGGGGAGGGUCUGUUCGACCUUUAAAUCCUUACA